UAUAUUACCGUAGCACGCCACACACAUAACGAUCAAAAGGCCUGGGCCGAUAUUCGAUAAGUCAAAUAACCAAGGAUAAAGUAAAGUUUUCAGCGUCGAUAAAUGCUUCAAGGGCAUUCAUGCUUGUCAUCGGUUUCAGCAGCUGCGCAUGUUUGUACCAUAAUGGAAUGAAAGGAAGGCGGCAAAUUCUCUUGUCCUUUUGUACGUGUCUGUUUGACUGUUAGUGUGGCCUGCUAGCAUCACACAAUGCAACUAGUUAGCAUGUAGCAGCUAACAUGGACAACAUUUUCACAAAAACAAAUUCCACCGCACCAGUGUGGGAAUAUUAGGUUUAAAACUUUGGAACAAGAUGAGACUAUCAACACCAAGGAGCUGAAUGUGUGCGAAUACAACAAACUUGAAACACAACCACCCGACUGUCACUUUGCGUUUGGUGAACAAGCUUCUACAAUGAUAGCAGUAUAAUCCUGCAUUCCAUUUACCUGGGAAGUUGAAAGUCGGAGCUGGGAAUGGCGUCACAGCUGAGUCCAGCUACGAUGUCAGAAACAAAGAUUGCCAGAUCCACGAAAGGGUCUUGAAUGAGCUGGAGCCUGUUCCAGCUGACUUCUUGCAAGAGGCGGGGGCACACCCUGGAAUGAUCGCAGCCUUUGCCAUUAUCUUUCGGACAAAUACACCACACUGUGCUACUGUUAUACCCCAACAUCUUACCCCAUAAACCAGACUGACCUGAUAUUUCUCACAGAGCCUAAUUCACUCUACGAAGGACCCACUGUUGUUUCGAGGUGUUUUAGCUGAAUUACCACAGAAUUUGGCACACAUCUUCAGGAAACAGAUAUCAGCAUAUACCUGUAAAAUUUCCAAACAUCAAUUGAAAAAUAAGGCUGCCAACAAGCAAAAUGUCUAUGCAGGUGCAUAUAAGUUAGCAACUAAUUGCCCCUAAGUCAUUACUUAUUUGUCUAGUCUAAAUAUUACUAAAUAUCUUGUCACAGCUGGUUAUACCAGGCCAUGCCUUAUUUCUACUGUAGUUUGUUAGUGUUUUUCCAUGUGUAAUUUUGAGUUCCUGUCUUGUGCACUUAUUUUGUAGUUCCACUUCCUUUUUGAGUGUGGCAGCUUUAUUUCAUCUCCCAGCGCCCUUGUUUUGAGUUUAGUCCUUGCUAUUUAAGUCCAGCUGGUGCUGGGAGAUUGUUAUACGUAUGAAUGCCGUUAAACGCUCUUCUCUAGUUUAAGGCU